GAUGAACGCUAGCGGCAGGCUUAAUACAUGCAAGUCGAGGGGCAGCGCAGUGUAGCAAUACAUGGGCGGCGACCGGCAAACGGGUGCGGAACACGUACGCAACCUUCCUUUAAGUGGGGGAUAGCCCAGGGAAACUUGGAUUAAUACCCCGUAAUAUUAUGAAGUGGCAUCACUUUAUACUUAUAGCUCCGGCGCUUAAAGAUGGGCGUGCGACUGCUUAGGUAGUUGGCGGGGUAACGGCCCACCAAGCCUGCGAUCAGUAACUGGUGUGAGCGCCCGAGCGGUCUCGGGGGGACUGAGACACGGGCCCGACUCUUGCGGGAGGAAGCAAUAAGGAAAAUUGGUCAAUGGACGCAAGUCUGAACCAGCCAUGCCGGGUGGAGGAUGAAGGUCCCCUGGAUUGUAAACUUCUUUUAGUUAGGAAGAAACCCACUGUUUCUAAGGUGGUUGACGGUACCAGAUGAAUAAGCACCGGCUAACUCCGUGCCAGCCGCCACCGUAA
rnacentral:rRNA from 1 species